rnacentral:siRNA from 1 species
CACAUCAUCGCACAAGAAAAUGAC